GACGAACGCUGGCGGCGUGCUUAACACAUGCAAGUCGAACGGAAAGGCCCUGCUUUUGUGGGGUGCUCGAGUGGCGAACGGGUGAGUAACACGUGAGUAACCUGCCCUUUACUUUGGGAUAACUUCAGGAAACUGGGGCUAAUACCGGAUAGGAGCUCCUGCUGCAUGGUGGGGGUUGGAAAGUUUCGGCGGUUGGGGAUGGACUCGCGGCUUAUCAGCUUGUUGGUGGGGUAGUGGCUUACCAAGGCUUUGACGGGUAGCCGGCCUGAGAGGGUGACCGGCCACAUUGGGACUGAGAUACGGCCCAGACUCCUACGGGCGGCAGCAGUGGGGAAUAUUGCACAAUGGGCGGAAGCCUGAUGCAGCAACGCCGCGUGCGGGAUGACGGCCUUCGGGUUGUAAACCGCUUUCGCCUGUGACGAAGCGUGAGUGACGGUAAUGGGUAAAGAAGCCCCGGCUAACUACGUG
rnacentral:rRNA from 1 species